UGGGAUCCUUAAAACACCCCGCACGUCAUAUACUUUCUAAUUAGUGAAAUUACUGAUACAAAUACAUAGUCUCUUGGUAAAAAUUAUUGGGUUCAACGUGAAUCCAUGGACCACAAUAAAGAUCCUCCCCUGCUUGUUACCUUCAUCAUGGCCAUCUUACUCUAAAGGGGCACUAACACAUGAUUGAUAAGAUAUCAAAGGGCCCUGACAAAACAUAAUAGACUUCUACUCUAGGUUUGUGUCGCUUCAUCAAGCUCCAUCCCUUCAUUCAAAAAUAAACAAGCAAUGCUACAGCUAUCAGGUGAUGUUCGAUGUAACUUGGAUUCACUUGGAUGAUUUCAUUGAAUACUUAUGACCUUCCUAGUUAUUUUCUAUCAAGACCCAAGAAUCCCCUUAGAUGUGACAUAGUACUUCGAAUCCUGAGAGACUCCAAGUGAACCACGUGGCAUAACAUGACAUUAAAAAAGCAUACAUAACUGAGAUAAAGAGAUAACGAUAAUCGAAGUCUCAAAUGGUAAUCUCAACAUAAUACUGAAUCAGAGUACAAAGGCCAUAAUGUGGAAAAUACUAUGUUUGACAACAAGCCUCUACUACAUAAAAGUGACUAGGACAACCCUAGCUCACUUGAAAUAUAGGAAAACUGAAACGAGUCUGAAAUGACAUAAAAGCAUAAGUGUUUCCAUGUCCCUGAACCAUGAAGACUCACCAAACUUGAACAAAGCUCAUAGGAUCCAAUACUAACCGUGGCCUAAGUGAUGUGCGUAAGAACUUAUAUUAUAAAACAAUAUAGGCAAAAGAGUUGUAUGUGGUCAGUACUCGGAAUGUACUGAAUAUAGGGAAAGAUGCCUAAACAUAGUAUAAGAGCAUGAAAGUCUGAAAAUAUGAGAAUGCAUGACAACAUAAAACAUGAAAUAAUCAGAUAAGCUGAGUUCAUAAAAUAUAGUACAAGGUCAAUGCAAUACUAUGAAAAUCAUACCAUAAGUAGAAAUCAUACUCUUUUGUGGGAGAUACCAUAAAUUGACAUAAACCAUGAAAGCUAUAACAUGGAGUUCAAUGUACUUCUCCCACACCGAAAUAGGAGUGUCCUACUUGGAACACGAGACAACAAAUUGUUUGUAAUUAAUUAAGAUACCAAGUCAACUACCAGGGUCAUAAGGACCCACAACCCCAAUUCUAAAGUUAAAAUUUAUCAGCUAACAAGAAAAAAAAACAUAAAACAAAAUAUAGUCAAACAAUAACCUAGUCGGACCCCAUGAACUCGGAAGGUACAAACAACAAACAUAACCCAACUGGCCCCAUAAACGAAAGGGUACAAUCAACAAACAAGUAUAUUGGUGAUAUACAAUACAUAUGAAUACAAAGAUGCAACAGGGCCAUCAAAGAAGUGCUACGAAUCUGAACCCAAGAAAUGAAAAUCACGCUCCCUGCCCAAGUAAACACGACCACAGUCAACUCCCAGUAAAGCUAGCAAGAGUGACAAAUCAUUCCAAGCCGCCCAACUGGUCGGUAAGUGAAUCCUAUUCCUAUUAAACGAGGCGGUAGUUGCUAAAUGAAAAGGUGGCGCCAUUCCCACUAUAGAAAAAACAAUUUUUCAUCCAAUCUCUGUUCUAGAUUCUGGUUUUACCAAGUCACCUUUCUCUAAGGCUAAAUAGUUAAAUAGGUAAAUAUCCUCGUACUCUUUUUUCCUCUUUUCUUUAGUAAGUACACUUCCAGUCUAGCUAGUAAGAGUGACCCAGGGGCGUAUCGACUCUGCAGAGGAUCACAGUACAUCAAAGCCGCCCAACCAAACAGUCAACUCCUAGGGGCAUAAGCCGCCCAACCAAACAGUCAACUCCUAGGGCAUAAGCCGCCCAACCAAACAGUCAACUCCUAGGGCAUAAGCCGCCCAACCAAACAGUCAACUCCUAGGGGCAUAAGCCGCCCAACCAAACAGUCAACUCCUAGGGCAUAAGCCGCCCAACCAAACAGUCAACUCCUAGGGGCAUAAGCCGCCCAACCAAACAGUCAACUCCUAGGGGCAUAAGCCGCCCAACCAAACAGUCAACUCCUAGGGGCAUAAGCCGCCCAACCAAACAGUCAACUCCUAGGGGCAUAAGCCGCCCAACUAGUAAGAGUGACCCAGGGGCAUGUUGACUCCAAAGAGGAUUUCAAAGUAGCCAAAAUCAUGCAAGAAAGGGCGUCGACACACCAACUAGUCAUGUAAGAACUAAGUGCAUCCCUAAUGCCUCUAAUAUCUCAAGUAGAAAAGAAGCACAUCUGGGACAGCUCUUGUUAUCAAAAGCCGAUAAAUGAAGUAGUCUAGGUGGUUCGACUUUCGUUAAAACCAGUUUAGACUAAAAGUAGAGUAAAACAAUAUUUUAUCAUGAAUGAUAAAUAUGCCAAUGAAUGAAUCGAGAUCGUACCAAUAAACCCAUAAGAGUGAACAAACAAUGUAAUUCAUGCCAUCACUAGGCUUCAAACAAAGUACUCUAAUUCAAAUAAAUAUAAGGACAAACAUAUCAUGCUAUAUAAUUCGGAGAGUACUAACCUGGGAUCCAACUGGUCCUCACAUACGGCCUCGGGCCGAACAAUAUAACAAAACUAAAUAAGGUUAUAACAGAUCUACAGCUAAACGAUAAGCGAAGGUACAAAAGAAGAGGUCUCAAAUCAAUUAAAAGGGGGACCAACUAAAGAGACGACACCCUACCCCAACCAUACCUCUCCAUUCCCUGACUCAGCAUAGCUAGGACCAACCCAUGGCUCGAUGAGCCACCAAGGUCACAAGCACCAACACCUAGAAAAAAACCCAUACAUGACCUAAGGGGAUAAAAUUAUAACUACGAGGGAGGUAAAACACAAUCUAAAGCAUCUAUGGUACAACCUAGUUUAAGGACACAAAGUACCAAUCCUAAAAAGGAUAAACACAAUCAUCUACACCAUAAGAUAAGCCAAAAGCCUAAACAAAGUAUCCCAACACUGACACUAAGCCCAAGGCUCGUACAGAAUUAAGAAAAUACUGAAUAAUAAGAGGAAAUUUAAAUACCCGGCAAAGACCAUCCAAAAUUACAUGAAAUCUAUACUAGGCAUUAUCUAAGAAGCUCAAUCAAAAAAGUAGACCGAAGCCUACCUCAAAGCCGAUCACCAGUGCUCUAAAUCCACCGUACAUGAGCUAUCCAUGUCUGAAACUCCUCCACACUAUCAAAUUAUAGAUCACCACGUCAUUACGAAUGUUUAGACAUCAAAUUUGCAAUAUUUCAAGACGAAAUUGAGUCAAAAUAGAAAAGUGAAACUCGCAUCGGGAAUCCCUAAAUUGACUCCGUCAAAAGGUCCUAAAUAGCCCAAGGAACUUGUGCCCCAAAAAUGCACAGAAUCCAAACUUGGAAAAGGGCUAAAACAAUCAAUGCAACAAAACACAAGAAAAAUACCAUUAAAGGACUAGGGAAGCCUCCUUCAGGGCUGAAAUUACCUCAAUAUGCCGACUUCCAUGCUUCCCCGAUCAGCCCCAU
rnacentral:lncRNA from 1 species